GGGUUGUGAGGUUAAGCGACUAAGCGUACACGGUGGAUGCCCUGGCAGUCAGAGGCGAUGAAGGACGUGCUAAUCUGCGAUAAGCGUCGGUAAGGUGAUAUGAACCGUUAUAACCGGCGAUUUCCGAAUGGGGAAACCCAGUGUGUUUCGACACACUAUCAUUGCGUGAAUACAUAGCGUAAUGAAGCGAACCGGGGGAACUGAAACAUCUAAGUACCCCGAGGAAAAGAAAUCAACCGAGAUUCCCCCAGUAGCGGCGAGCGAACGGGGAGCAGCCCAGAGUCUGAAUCAGCUUGUGUGUUAGUGGAACGGUCUGGAAAGUCCGACGGUACAGGGUGAUAGUCCCGUACACCAAAAUGCACAGGUUGUGAACUCGAAGAGUAGGGCGGGACACGUGGUAUCCUGUCUGAAUAUGGGGGGACCAUCCUCCAAGGCUAAAUACUCCUGACUGACCGAUAGUGAACCAGUACCGUGAGGGAAAGGCGAAAAGAACCCCGGCGAGGGGAGUGAAAAAGAACCUGAAACCGUGUACGUACAAGCAGUGGGAGCCUCUUUAUGGGGUGACUGCGUACCUUUUGUAUAAUGGGUCAGCGACUUAUAUUCUGUAGCAAGGUUAACCGUAUAGGGGAGCCGAAGGGAAACCGAGUCUUAACUGGGCGUUAAGUUGCAGGGUAUAGACCCGAAACCCGGUGAUCUAGCCAUGGGCAGGUUGAAGGUUGGGUAACACUAACUGGAGGACCGAACCGACUAAUGUUGAAAAAUUAGCGGAUGACUUGUGGCUGGGGGUGAAAGGCCAAUCAAACCGGGAGAUAGCUGGUUCUCCCCGAAAGCUAUUUAGGUAGCGCCUCGUGAACUCAUCUUCGGGGGUAGAGCACUGUUUCGGCUAGGGGGUCAUCCCGACUUACCAACCCGAUGCAAACUGCGAAUACCGAAGAAUGUUAUCACGGGAGACACACGGCGGGUGCUAACGUCCGUCGUGAAGAGGGAAACAACCCAGACCGCCAGCUAAGGUCCCAAAGUCAUGGUUAAGUGGGAAACGAUGUGGGAAGGCACAGACAGCCAGGAUGUUGGCUUAGAAGCAGCCAUCAUUUAAAGAAAGCGUAAUAGCUCACUGGUCGAGUCGGCCUGCGCGGAAGAUGUAACGGGGCUAAACCAUGCACCGAAGCUGCGGCAGCGACACUAUGUGUUGUUGGGUAGGGGAGCGUUCUGUAAGCCGUUGAAGGUGGCCUGUGAGGGUUGCUGGAGGUAUCAGAAGUGCGAAUGCUGACAUAAGUAACGAUAAUGCGGGUGAAAAACCCGCACGCCGGAAGACCAAGGGUUCCUGUCCAACGUUAAUCGGGGCAGGGUGAGUCGACCCCUAAGGCGAGGCCGAAAGGCGUAGUCGAUGGGAAACAGGUUAAUAUUCCUGUACUUGGUGUUACUGCGAAGGGGGGACGGAGAAGGCUAUGUUAGCCGGGCGACGGUUGUCCCGGUUUAAGCAUGUAGGCGGAGGUUCCAGGUAAAUCCGGUACCUUUUAACGCUGAGGUGUGAUGACGAGGCACUACGGUGCUGAAGUAACAAAUGCCCUGCUUCCAGGAAAAGCCUCUAAGCAUCAGGUAACACGAAAUCGUACCCCAAACCGACACAGGUGGUCAGGUAGAGAAUACCAAGGCGCUUGAGAGAACUCGGGUGAAGGAACUAGGCAAAAUGGUGCCGUAACUUCGGGAGAAGGCACGCUGAUAUGUAGGUGAAGUGAUUUACUCAUGGAGCUGAAAUCAGUCGAAGAUACCAGCUGGCUGCAACUGUUUAUUAAAAACACAGCACUGUGCAAACACGAAAGUGGACGUAUACGGUGUGACGCCUGCCCGGUGCCGGAAGGUUAAUUGAUGGGGUUAUCCGUAAGGAGAAGCUCUUGAUCGAAGCCCCGGUAAACGGCGGCCGUAACUAUAACGGUCCUAAGGUAGCGAAAUUCCUUGUCGGGUAAGUUCCGACCUGCACGAAUGGCGUAAUGAUGGCCAGGCUGUCUCCACCCGAGACUCAGUGAAAUUGAACUCGCUGUGAAGAUGCAGUGUACCCGCGGCAAGACGGAAAGACCCCGUGAACCUUUACUAUAGCUUGACACUGAACACUGGUCCUUGAUGUGUAGGAUAGGUGGGAGGCUUUGAAGUGUGGACGCCAGUCUGCAUGGAGCCAUCCUUGAAAUACCACCCUUUAAUGGCUGGUGUUCUAACGUGGACCCGUAAUCCGGGUUGCGGACAGUGUCUGGUGGGUAGUUUGACUGGGGCGGUCUCCUCCUAAAGAGUAACGGAGGAGCACGAAGGUUAGCUAAUCCUGGUCGGACAUCAGGAGGUUAGUGCAAAGGCAUAAGCUAGCUUGACUGCGAGAGUGACGGCUCGAGCAGGUGCGAAAGCAGGUCUUAGUGAUCCGGUGGUUCUGAAUGGAAGGGCCAUCGCUCAACGGAUAAAAGGUACUCCGGGGAUAACAGGCUGAUACCGCCCAAGAGUUCAUAUCGACGGCGGUGUUUGGCACCUCGAUGUCGGCUCAUCACAUCCUGGGGCUGAAGUAGGUCCCAAGGGUAUGGCUGUUCGCCAUUUAAAGUGGUACGCGAGCUGGGUUUAGAACGUCGUGAGACAGUUCGGUCCCUAUCUGCCGUGGGCGCUGGAGAAUUGAGGGGGGCUGCUCCUAGUACGAGAGGACCGGAGUGGACGCAUCACUGGUGUUCGGGUUGUCAUGCCAAUGGCAUUGCCCGGUAGCUAAAUGCGGAAGAGAUAAGUGCUGAAAGCAUCUAAGCACGAAACUUGCCCCGAGAUGAGUUCUCCCUGAGACUAUAAGUCUCCUGAAGGAACGUUGAAGACGACGACGUUGAUAGGUCGGGUGUGUAAGUGUAGCGAUACAUUGAGCUAACCGAUACUAAUGAACCGUGAGGCUUAACCUUACAACGCCGAAG
rnacentral:rRNA from 1 species